rnacentral:rRNA from 1 species
GGUGAACGCUGGCGGCGUGCUUAAGACAUGCAAGUCGAACGGCAGUCUUCGGACUGUAGUGGCGCACGGGUGAGUAACGCGUAACUGACCUACCCCAAAGUCGCGGAUAACGAUUCGAAAGAAUCGCUAAUACGUGAUGUGCUGUCAGAUUGUGUUCUGCCAGUAAAGAUUGAUUGCUUUGGGAUGGGGUUGCGUUCCAUCAGCUAGUUGGUGGGGUAAAGGCCCACCAAGGCGACGACGGAUAGCCGGCCUGAGAGGGUGGCCGGCCACAGGGGCACUGAGACACGGGUGCCACUCCAACGGUAGGCAGCAGUUAGGAAUCUUCCACAAUGGGCGAAAGCCUGAUGGAGCGAUGCCGCGUGAGGGAUGAAGGUCUUCGGAUCGUAAACCUCUGAAUCAGGGACGAAAGACACUUCGGUGGGAUGACGGUACCUGAGUAAUAGCACCGGCUAACUCCGUGCCAGCCGCCGCAGUAACAC